CUCUUUUUAUUGUGGGUUCAGGUGGGAAUUGAGAUGGAGCAUUUCCCGGAAUUCGAGAACGACGUGGAGUUCACAGAGCGGUUGAUUGCGGAGCAGGCUGUCCACUGUCUCCCAGCAACGUGCUUCGAGUACCCAAAUUUCUUCCGAGUGGUCAUCACAGUCCCCGAGGUGAUGAUGCUGGAGGCUUGUAGCCGGAUCCAGGAGUUCUGUGAACAGCACUACCACUGUGCUGAAGGCAGCCAGGAGGAGUGUGACAAAUAAGCCCUCACCCGUCCUCCUGAAGACAUGUCCCACGCAAGGACGGUUGGACUGGACCGCUCCUCCUCAGGGAGCCAAAUGUCUCUGAUGGGAGAGGAACCUCUAAAGCACCGCAUGAAGACUUGAAGAUCAUUUCUCCUUCCCCCAGUUUCACCCAACGCACGCCUGGAAACCCAGACCCCUCCCUACUCAGUUCUGCUGGAGCCAUGAGCUCACUGCCCCCCACCCCCCACUUCCUUAUCCUGAGGGUAUCAGACCAAUUUACCAGAAAGAAGCUGGGCCAAGAAAAGAGAGAGCUCAGGAUGAGAGAAGCAGAAGACGGAGGAUGCCUCUCCCACCCAUUUCCUCGUGCUGACAUCCUCUUCAGUCAGGUCGGAAGUCACCUCAGUUGCUGCCUCACUUCAGGCAAACCUCACUCCUCGUGGUACAGCUACACCAGAGAGAAGUCGAGGACUUGUGAAUUCAGUUAAUUGUAUUCUAAACACAUCAGGAAACUUGAUGUUUAAAGGAUCCCUGACAGAAUUUUUAUUUUUAUUUUUUGUAAAGGAUUAUUUUGCGGUGCAAAUAAAUACCAGCUUCCUAAACUGAUCAACUUCCUAACUGAUUAGAUAGAUCUACUUGUAUCAGGUUUUCCUAAAAUAGGAGGACACCUCACUGAAGGAGAAAGAAGGGACCGGAGGCCUCUCUAGAGACUUUGCUGUGUACAGGACAGCAUCUUCCUCCUUGUCUUCUCGUAGAAUCAUAUAUAGCCACUUUUGCUAUCAUGUGAAUAUUGAUUUAUUGAUAUUUGUAAUAUUAACUUUUCAUAUAUUUUCUAAGAAACAUUUAUAUUAUAAGGCCUUUUAUUUUGUCAAGGGCAUAAAUUAUUUUUUCUUUAUUUUUGAAAUAAAAAUUUAUCAAAU
rnacentral:lncRNA from 1 species